AGAUCCUGUUUCACUAUCAAGUGCUAACUGUGGAUCAUCAAGGCUCUCUGUCAACUGCGGCGUCAUGUACGGUGCAACCUCCAGAGCAGCACUUCUGGACAAUAUGGACCAGUUUUUCUAUCCACUGCUGAUUGAUCCAGGCAUAAGUACCUAACUUUAGCUCGGCCAACCCACAGUCCUUUUCUGAGAACCUAACCCUAACACCUAAUCCAAUCUUAACCAGUCAGAAUUCUUUCUUCUGAUCUUAGUUACUACAGUGGAAAAAGGAGCUGAAGCUGAAAGGCUCUGAGGUCAGAAGCCCACCUCUGCCACUGGGGGAUGUGAGUUGAUCAACCAUUUUUAACUGUACUUCCCUUAAGUAAAAUGGGGUCUUCAUACCUAUGCAAUGAAGAGCAGGUGUGAGGACUGCGUAGGAUAAUGUGCAACCUACGUUGGCAAACAUUUCUAACUGGGCUUAUGAGGAAACCAGGCUCAGCCCAGCUGCACAGAUGGACCUGGUUUCUGCCAUGCCAAGGACCCACAAUUCCUGCCUCCACAGGCAGAUAAGAACAAUAAAA